GACGGGGGGGGCAAGUGUUCUUCGGAAUGACUGGGCGUAAAGGGCACGUAGGCGGUGAAUCGGGUUGAAAGUGAAAGUCGCCAAAAAGUGGCGGAAUGCUCUCGAAACCAAUUCACUUGAGUGAGACAGAGGAGAGUGGAAUUUCGUGUGUAGGGGUGAAAUCCGUAGAUAUUGGGAAGAACACCGGUGGCGAAGGCGGCUCACUGGCUCGUAUCUGACGCUCAGGCGCGACAGCGUGGGGAUCAAACAGG
rnacentral:rRNA from 1 species